GCAACAGAGUGAGACUCUGUCCAAAAAAAAAAAAGAACUUCAGCAUCUGCAGAUUUUGGUAUCCCUGGGGGACACCCAUGAAUAAUACCAAGGGACGACUACAUUUUUUUAUGAACUGUUUGAGAUUUUUGUCCAUUUUUAAUAACAAUGUUUGUCUUUUUAUUAUUGAGUUCUAAAAGUUCUGGAAACAAGUCCUUUGUCACAUAUGUGUUUUGUGAGUAUUUUCUCCCAGUUUGUAGCUUGAAAUUUUUUAAUUUUGGUGAAAUCUAAUCUACCAAUAUUUUUUUCUUUUAUGGUAACUGCUUUGUCCUAUAAGAAAUCUUUGCUUAUCCCCAGGUCACAAAGAUAUUCUGUUCCUUUUAAAAGCUUUAUAGUUUUUUUUUUACAUUUUGAUCAAUGAACCAGGCUCAAAUUAUGAUGUGAGGCAGUUCAUUUUUUUCCUCUACAGAUAUCCAGGUGUUCCAGUACUAUGUGUUGAAAAGGCUUUCCCUUCUCCAAUGGAUUGCUUUGCUGCCUUUGUCAAAAAUCAAUUAACUCUGUAAAUUACGAUGCUCCACAUGACUAUGGAGUCAAGAGGACCACAUAUUUGUACGUGUCUAGCUCCAGGUAUAUUGAUGGAAACCAUUUCUACACCUGGACAGCUAGCAAUACUUACCUCUACACAGAAGCGACUGCAACACACAUAAUUAUGUUCCACUAAGCCCAAACCAAAUGUAUGCCUGGCUCAACUUCCCCUUAGUUGGAUCCCCAAAUGCUUUUGGCCACUCCAAUGUCAUGCCGGUAGGUCUUACCCUCUUUGUCAGACCUGUGUUUCCCAGUAUCUUCCUGACCAUGACACAUCCUUACCAAGCUCUGAUAAUUCAGGUUUUUGUUUGUUUGUUUGUUUUUCUUUUUUG